ACGUAGGAGACAAACGUUAUCCGGAGUUACUGGGCGUAAAGCGUGCGUAGGCGGUUUGUUAAGUCUGUCGUGAAAGCCCCGGGCUCAACCUGGGAAUGGCGAUGGAUACUGGCGAGCUAGAGUACGGUAGAGGAGAGUGGAAUUCCCGGUGUAGCAGUGAAAUGCGUAGAGAUCGGGAGGAACAUCAGUUGCGAAGGCGGCUCUCUGGAGCAGUACUGACGCUGAGGCACGAAAGCGUGGGGAGCAAACAGG
rnacentral:rRNA from 1 species